GGAAAUUAAGGAGAGGUGGGUGGGGAGGUGCGUAGGUGGAAAGAGGGGUGCGGAAGUAGAGGGCUGAAGGUGAGCGGAGUCGGUGUUUUAGAUAGUAUGUGAAAUGCAAGGGCGUAACAGAGGAGUGUCAUGGGAAAUUGGAGAACUUGAGUGCAGAAGAGGAAAGUGGAAUUGCAUGUGUAGCGGUGAAAUGCGCAGAGAUAUGGAGGAACACCGGUGUCGAAGGCGACGUUCUGGUCUGCAACUGACGCUGAUGUGCGAAAGCGUGGGGAUCAAACAGGAUUAGAUACCCCGGUAUUC
rnacentral:rRNA from 1 species